rnacentral:tRNA from 1 species
GGGUUUGUAGCUCAGCUGGUUAGAGUACUGCGUUGACAUCGCAGGGGUCGGAGGUUCAAGUCCUCUCAAACCCACCA